UAAAUGCCUUUACUCACAAUUAGACCUAAAUGUAGAAACCAGUUUACAGUACUUUUAUUCCUAGGUCACAAAGGAUUUGCUGUUCAGAGAAAAGCAUAUGGUAACCCCUACUGAAGAAGGGAAGCAGUGGCCCAGAGCAUUGUAUCACUGAGAAGCCAAGUCGGGAAGCACACCUGUAUCAGUCCUGUUUCUGGACAAACUGUCACUUCCCUGCAAGUACAACAGAUGCCCAUACCAAAGCAAUUACUGUAUGGGAGAUGCUGACUGGCUGGAAGAACCUGUUCAUUUUGGAUCUGUAAUGGAGUCUGCGAGGAGCUCAGCUUCCUGGUGUGGAAGAAGGCAGUUGUCUGAUCUUCAGCAUCCUCCUGUCCUGGUGGAUUAUGUCAUGAACAGCUCUGCCUGGGGUCAUUUGUGAACAGAUAUCUUGGAAGAUAGGAUCAUCACUGGUUGGGGACCAUUGUUCUUGCUUAAACUGUCCAUGCUAGUGUUUGUCAAGAAGGGUAAGUGCAUUGCAGAAAGGAGAGCUUGUGUACCAGCUCCUAGCUCUGAUUGCUAAGGCAAAGACCAAAGGCAAGGGUCUGAGUUUGAAGACAGCUCCCAGGUGAAAUGGGUAAAGACUCCUGCAGAAGCUUCUCAUUGCUUUUUCAAACCGUUUUUCACUGCAGUCUGUUUCCAGCUUUCAGUGGCACUGGCUGGUCUCUAUGACAGGCAGCUAAACACCAAGGAAGGGGCCCUGACAAAUCCAGCCCCUUGUUUUAUCUUGUCUAUCAUUAUCUCUUCAAUCUCUUCUGAAGAUCUGUGGAGAAGUUUUCCAUGAAUAUCUUGAAUACUAGGAGGUCAGUGUGCAUUUGUACUUUCGUCGGGGAUCUGAAAACACAUCCCUGUGUGUAAUGAGGAGUUAAAACUAUUGUCCUGGGUGACUGGGAAAUGUGGGCUGACAACAUGAAGUGGUGAGCUUAGGGGAAUUUUCUUUUCAGAAAUAUUUUUAUUUGUUGGGGAUCCUUGACAGGACAAGAACUUAACAUUUCUAGGCAGGAAUGUAUCUGAGUCAGUUGAGUUUUGUUAGGGUGCACAGCAGCCUCUAGUCACUGAUGUGUGCAUGAGAAGCUACUGGCUGGUUCAUGAGGAAUUUGGACCUUCUCAGAACUGGAGUUUUGGUGACUCCUGAAUGUCAGAGGCUCAAGAUCUGGAAUGAAUUGACCAAGGUCUGUACUUAAGGUGGAGAAUAAAGAUUCCCUUUCUUGAGCAGGCAUACAGGCAAGGUGAAAAGCACAUCAAGUAUCAGCUGGGUAUUUUGUUUGUGGAGAACCAAAGAUGAGCUGGAACAAAUGUGAGAGCCUGUGAGUACCACUUUUGUGUCCUACACUGAUCCACAUGAUCUAAAUAUUAAAGUGCAAAGAGGCAAUGAUUGUAAGGAACUUCUAGCGUAAUUGGUGUUCUGUGAUGACAUUUAGCAGUUCACACAGAGCAAAGCACCAAUUUUGGUCUGGAUUAUUUCUUAAAGAGCAGUGUCUGGGACAUCUGCGGCAAGGCUCUUGUUAUACUGAGUAGUUUUGAGAAUGAAACCAAGAAUAUUUGGGUCUGCAAAAACUGAGGCAUUUAACCGUAAAUAUUCCCUAAACCAGUGACCACAUGUCUGAAAAGGGAGAUUUAUGUGAAAUGGGAAGUUUCGUAACAGGACUCUUUCAUAAAAUAACGACAGUGACGUAUGCACACACGUACACACACACUCAUUCCAGAUAAGAUCAAACAUAUAACACUCCAAAGAUGAAACACUUCCCUAAUUAUUUCUCUCCUUCUGAUUUUGAAAUGUAAUUUCUCUAGGACUGACAGUUACAGGUGGAAAUGCUGCAGAGAAGUCUUUAAAUCUCUGCUGGAAGCGAUCUCUCUCCCUUGCAUGUAACGGAGCAUGUACACCUGACCACUGCUACCCAUAACAUUGCUUGUGUAUUCCAGUACUCCAGCCUCUCCAGUCCUUCUCUCUUUGCUCCAUGUAUCACUUUCCACAGCUCUGGAAUGCAUCUCUGCUAGAUAUUCCUUUGUUGGUGAUUUUAGCAGAUAUGGUAGCAGUAGGGAUAGGAGUGUAGCCAUCAGAAGAAUAGUUGGAUCUGUUGGAAGGGGUGAGAUACAGAAAGGAGGGUGAAGAUGAGGUAAAAACAUAGAAGGAUGGAAGAUGGAAGAUGUGGGAAUGAAAAGGUGGAGAUGGAAGAGAAAAAAAGGAUAGAAAAGGCAAGGAUCCCAGAGGACAGUUUCUUCUUCUGAAGAACAUUAAAUACUGCAUAAAUUACAGUAAAUUGAAAUAUUGUUAAUCUAUAAAGGCUGUAUUGUUCUCUUUUUCUCUUGGCCAACUACUGCUGACGUAAGCAGGAACUCUUCUCUAGGCUGAAGAAGCCUAAAGCCUAGCAAGCAAGCCUGGCGCCCAGACUGGGGCUGGAAGUGGGAUUUGGCCUCUGCUAUACAGAAAGGCUUUGAGGAUUCAGACUUAGAGGAACCCAGGGAAUGUGAGGCCGCUGGGCAAGCAUCAGAUAGGAGCAUUUAGUCAGCGUUUCUUCUACAAAAACUAAUAAAAAUACAUCUUUCAGUCUUUUCCAGGAAGAUGUCAGAGCUCUUCUGUGGAGUUAGCAGGCUUGACAUGGACACCAGCUUAGUCAUUAGAGAAUAAGACAAAGGGGUUUAAGUCUUGCUAGAAAUUCAUAUAUCCUGCAAGGCUACUGGGGAGACACCGCUGACUCCAUGAUGUGUGUAAAUGUAUUUGUGCAUACGUGUAUGUGUAUGUGUGUAUCACUGGAUAUAAACAGAUGCAGCUAUCUGUUUUCUCCUAAUUAUUCCGUAAUUCUGCCUUCGGCUUUGCAGACUCCAGGAUCUUGGCCAGCUGGAGCCGGAGAGGCUGCCAAGUCCAUCAGGUUGAGGGAGCCAGCAGGCUGUUCCACCUGACUGUCUGGAAGCAUUCUUUUGCUCUCUUGAGAGUUUCCCAACGCGUCUCCAUUUCCUUUGAAAGAAGGUUCACCCAUGAUUGCCAGCGUCUAUGUCAGGUCUUCUUUGCAUGGGUGCUGAGACUGCAAAACCCGGAGACCCAUGGCCCCUCUCAGCACUGUUUUAGCAAUCUUCCAGCUGCACAAGCACUGAAAAGCUCCAAAAAAUAUCUAAUGAGGCAGAUGAAAAGAGACAGGCUCGGGCUCUUGGCUAAUGCUAUAGUUGCUUUAUAGGGAUAGAGAGGAUGAUUGCAAGAACUCAUCAUAUCUCAUAACCUGAUGAGGUCAGUAACAACCCUGAUUUUUCUGCACUCCUAAAGCAGAGGAGCUUCUUUGUCGACAGCUGAGAAGACCCUGAAGAAUCCAAGGUGCGUGCUGAGGUAACAAGGGGACAGCUGAAAUUUAUGUUUUUUAAGUUUUUAUGCUUAUCUCAAGAAUGAUGUGCUGGGAAAGUAAAUCCUUUGCAAACGCUCAUGAAUCUCUGGUAUUCAGGUGCCCUGCAGGAGAGAUGCAGAAACACAGAAAAGAUUUUUACCAUUUGAUCUCACCAUGUGGCUCUCAUCUGGUGCUCUGUUCUGCCUACUUCUUCCUUGGGAUAGUGUUCAAAACAAAUGGGGUUUUCAGAAGUGCUCCAUAUAGGGGAGACUAAGAAAAUCUCCCUUCUGUGUUUCUCCCUUCUGCUCAGUCUAAACAGCUUUAUCCAACUGCACCUCCCCCUUCCGGGUCCUCCUUCCAAGUACAGGUAAAGGUUUAUUCUUCACAAAACUUGGAAACAGAGACAAACUUUCACAUCACCUAUUCUGACAGUCCCGUUAUCCAUCUGUAAUCACAGUGAGCCAUUGGGCUGCCUAAUGAGUAGCAUGAUUCCUUCCUACGUUUCGGUCUGGUUUUACCCUUGUAUGUCCUAUCCUCUGUGUGUAUGCAGCAGUGACGUGCAGGCCAAGAAGUGGAGACAGGGAGAGUGGAGUUAAAGGAAAGAUGGGAAAAAAGCAUCAGCAGCAAGCUGGGAAGUUCAGUGAAUGCCUUUAGCAAUACCAUUAGGGCGGGCUUCUGAAAUGAGGUGGUAAGACACAGCAAAAAAGCAGCCUUACUGGUUCUGGCUGACUUGCACAGUAGGUCUCUGUGUUUUUAAUGUGCAACCUGUUCUCUCUGGUGAGGAACUGUCACUUUUAGUUCAGCUCACUGUAGCUUUUCACACAUAGAAAAGAUAUGCAACUCAAUACAUUUUCUCUCUUCCGUGAUGCAGAGGUUCCCAAACCAUGGCAGAGAUCCCUGCCAAUCUUCUUUAUGUCUUUUGGAGCACUUACACUGUUAUUGUUCGACACUGAAUAGAGAGUCUUUGAGAAGUUAGUUAUCCAGAUCAGCUACAGGCAUUUCUAACCUCACCAAACAUAAUGUUGUCAUGGGUUUUGGCCAGGAAGGUGCCAUUUCCAAGGAUCUUAUUCUUUUCCCUUUGAUUUUCGAAAAUCAACAAGUUCUAGUGAAGAGCUCUGUGUAAAAUAUGGAGCUGAGGAUUAACAAAGAAGCAAAGAGGAGGUCUUUUUUUUUUUUUUUGCUUACGU